CUUUAUUAGGUACACCUGUCUAACUGCUUGUUAAUGCAAAUUUCUAAUCAGCCAUUUCUGCUCACACAUUCGGAUGCUCGGCUCAGAAUUUGGCCUCAACAACAUGAAAGCAUGGAUCCAUCCUGCUGACAAAUCUGCAGCCACUGUGUGAUGCUAUCAUGUCAAUAUGGAGCAAAAUCUCUGAGGAAUAUGUCCAGUAGCUUGUUGAAUCUACGCCAUGAAGGAUUAAGGCAGUUCUGAGGGCAAAAGGGAUCCAACCCAGUACUAGGUGUACCUAAUAAAGUGGCCAGUGAUUAUAAAAGAAAUAAAAAAAAUGUGUGUGUGUUUCUGCAGUUUUGGGACACAGCGUGGAGGAAGACGAGGCUGUGAAUGCAUCACUCUAGAGCCGUCAGAGAUGAUUGUGGUGGAGAACGCCAGCGAAACCGACCACGCCGACUUACAGAGACACGGCUCGCAGAGACAGUCCCGCCGACGCUUCUGUAGGGUCAGCGCUGGCGGAGAGAGACAGAUGAUCGUGGACAGCCAGGACAACACUGACACGGUGAGUGCCUUUCUUCUGUUCCCGUACUAA
rnacentral:lncRNA from 1 species